rnacentral:misc_RNA from 1 species
GAAAUGCGAUACUUGGUGUGAAUUGCAGAAUCCCGUGAACCAUCGAAUCUUUGAACGCACAUUGCGCCCUCUGGUAUUCCGGGGGGCAUGCCUGUUCGAGCGUCAUUAUAACCACUCAAGCUCUCGCUUGGUAUUGGGGUUCGCGGUUUCGCGGCCUCUAAAAUCAGUGGCGGUGCCUGUCGGCUCUACGCGUAGUAAUACUCCUCGCGUCUGGGUCCGGUAGGUCUACUUGCCAGCAACCCCCAAUUUUUUACAGGUUGACCUCGGAUCAGGUAGGGAUACCCGCUGAACUUAA